rnacentral:misc_RNA from 1 species
GAGUCGUAACAAGGUUUCCGUAGGUGCACCUGCGGAAGGAUCACUACCUUUCAGUACAGAAGAAUUGUGCAGGGACUCCCUCACAGUUCUUCCUGUAUAUCACCCUUGUCUUUUGCGCACUUAUGUUUCCUCGGCAGGCUUGCCUGCCGGUUGGACAAAAAAUUUAACCUUUUUAAUUUUCAAUCAGCGUCUGAAAUAAUUUAAUAAUUACAA